ensembl:snRNA U1 U1 spliceosomal RNA
AUACUUACCUGGCAGGAGAGAUACCAUGAUCAUGAAGGUGGUUUUCCCAGGGCAAGGCUUAUCCAUUGCACUCCGGAUGUGCUGACCCCUGUGAUUCUCCCCCCCCCCCCCAAAUAUCCAAUAAAAAGAUGCCUGUAUCACUCAUC